AUUGAACGCUGGCGGCAGGCUUAACACAUGCAAGUCGAGCGAGCGGCGGACGGGUGAGUAAUGUCUGGGAACCUGCCUGAUGGAGGGGGCUAACUACUGGAACCGGUAGCUAAUACCGCUUACACUCAGCUGUUCCCAGAUGGGAUUGGCUAGUAGGUGGGGUAAUGGCUCACCUAGGCGACGAUCCCUAGCUGGUCUGAGAGGAGGACCAGCCACACGGGAACGGAGACACGGUCCAGACUCCUACGGGAGGCAGCAGGGGGGAAUAUUGCACAAUGGGCGCAAGCCUGAUGCAGCCAGGCCGCGGGUGUGAAGAAGGCCUUCGGGGGGUAAAGCACUUUCAGCGAGGAGGCGGUACUCGCAGAAGAAGCACCGGCUAACUCCGUGCCAGCAGCCGCGGUAAUAC
rnacentral:rRNA from 1 species